UUUAUUGGAGAGUUUGAUCCUGGCUCAGGAUGAACGCUGGCGGCGUGCCUAAUACAUGCAAGUCGAGCGAAUGGAUUAAGAGCUUGCUCUUAUGAAGUUAGCGGCGGACGGGUGAGUAACACGUGGGUAACCUGCCCAUAAGACUGGGAUAACUCCGGGAAACCGGGGCUAAUACCGGAUAACAUUUUGAACCGCAUGGUUCGAA
rnacentral:rRNA from 1 species